rnacentral:piRNA from 1 species
UCUCAUCUACUGCUGACAGUCUGACGGGA